GAUGAACGCUGGCGGCGUGCCUAAUACAUGCAAGUCGAGCGAACAGACGAGGAGCUUGCUCCUCUGACGUUAGCGGCGGACAGGUGAGUAACACGUGGAUAACCUACCUAUAAGACUGGGAUAACUUCGGGAAACCGGAGCUAAUACCGGAUAAUAUAUUGAACCGCAUGGUUCAAUAGUGAAAGACGGUUUUGCUGUCACUUAUAGAUGGAUCCGCGCCGCAUUAGCUAGUUGGUAAGGUAACAGCUUACCAAGGCAACGAUGCGUAGCCGACCUGAGAGGGUGAUCGGCCACACUGGAACUGAGACACGGUCCAGACUCCUACGGGAGGCAGCAGUAGGGAAUCUUCCGCAAUGGGCGAAAGCCUGACGGAGCAACGCCGCGUGAGUGAUGAAGGUCUUCGGAUCGUAAAACUCUGUUAUUAGGGAAGAACAAAUGUGUAAGUAACUAUGCACGUCUUGACGGUACCUAAUCAGAAAGCCACGGCUAACUACGU
rnacentral:rRNA from 1 species